CUAAUUGCAAAUCCGCUCCUUGCUUUUCUAAAAUGUCAAAGAAUUUAUAUAUUUUCAGGUCACUGCCAUGUCAGUCCAAUACCAAUGUCAGGUUGGGAGCAGCAAUGCAAAAUUUGUUUUCAUUACAAAAUUCAUGCUUCAACAGCUUUUCCUUUGGAAACAAAAAUAAAAGUGUCAGCGUUUGAGAUGGCUACAUCUGGUGCGUUAGCCUGCGUUAAUGGCUUUCGUCUUGGCUUCCCCAGUGUUGUUAGUUGUCCUGUGAAAAUACAGAGCUAGCUGACAAACCUUUCUCCUUUUCCCGUCUUUCCCUUGGGUUUGGGGCUGAGCGCUCCCCAACAGUGCCCUCUGUGGUUGGAGAAAGCAAACAGCCAGGGAGGAAAGCACAAAAAAAAAGGGGGGGGAGGAAGGGGAAAUGUGAGCGCAAACUGAUCCAGAUUGUCCCUUCGGGAUGGGCACUACAAGCACAGAGUGGAGUUCUCCUAAGGGGGAAAAAGGUGGCCAGGCGCAGCCAGGAUGGGAGACGUGCAUCCUUUUGCUCCAGCACGACGUCGGUAACUGGCAAUUGAGGUUGUUGUUACAGGACUGGAGGGAAUCUAACAUAACACAGGAACAGCUGAACCAGGUGCUUGAAACAAGACUUCAUUGCUGAGCUACAGGGAUUAAGGGAAGGGAUUUUAUUUGCCUGCUGCAGUUAGAUGCAGCGUCCUCAAGGACCCCAGAAUUUGCAUGGAAACAUGGAGGAGAGGAGAGAGGAAAUAACCUUUACAGAAAGAAAAUCAGUCAAAUCAUCUUUAUCAUUCAAACAAAAGAUGACAGGAAAUGAACAGGUGACUUCAAGGAUGAAAAAAAUACUCUUCUGCCAAUUCAAGAAAAGAUAAUGGAUGAGGUGUUACAGAACCUGUAGGUGAAUUUGAGUUUGCAUUAUAACCAUCUUUACCAAAGAUCUUUAUCAUGCAACAAACUACAUUUUGAGAACAAUGCCUGGAAUAAAGAGGGGAAGAAAAUGUUUAAUACUGCUACUUCCUCUAACUAAGAUCAUAGAAUCAUCAAAUCAUAAAAGGUUGGAAAAGACCUCUAAGAUCAGCCAUCAGCACCAUGCCCACUUUGGAGGAUGCCAAAGCAGACACAGAACUGAACAGCAGUCUCAGAUUGUGAUACAUCAUGCUUUUAGAAUUGUUAUUCUCUCCUGAUUCACCUUGUUGCAACUGUAACGAUGCCUGUAGUCCCAGAAGUGGGAGCAAGAAGAGAUCAUUACAACUGGGGCAUUUAUUUCCUCUCUGCUAUCAAAGAGAUGAGCCUCUGGACAGCAAAUUUAGUGGUAUUUUACUGGAUACAGAUGCAGAGCACUGCACAUCUCUUCUUCCUGCAAUAUAACAGCAGUGGAGAGUUCAGCUGAGAGAACAAACUUUGAGAAGAUAUCUCACUCCUGUAGGACAGUGAAAUAGUUGUCCAAAUCACAAUGUGGGACUCAGAGCCAUGGCCUAGAACAAGAGAAGGGUAUAUACCUUGUCUUUCUUAUUCUUACAAGGAAAGAUCAAGAUACAUCCAUAUGUGACUUUUGACAAUUCAAGAAAGAAAACUUCAAAUGCUCAGGUGUUUGAUCUUUAUUUUUUUAUAACCUAUCAAAACCACAGGAUCUGUAAGCAUUCCUUCAGCCCUAAAUGGUUUCUUUCUCUUUUCCAUUUUUCAUAUAGAAUCAUAGAAUCAUAGAAUGGCCUGGGUUGAAAAGGACCACAGUGAUCAUUGAGUUUCAACCCCCCUGCUAUGUGCAGGGUUGCCAGCCACUAGACCAGGCUGCCCAGAGAAUUUUUUUAUUCCAGUAAAGGAGGAGGCCUUUCUUUUGUUGAGAAACCAAAUGUAAAAGAGUAGAAGAUUUUUACAAGAAGCAAACUUGUAAAAAUGGCAUCCUGGGGUUCCCCAUUUGUUACAUUGCAAUUGUUUCUAGAUCAAACCUGUUCAGUUCAGCACUGAAAGGAUGGGUUUGCUGCUGUCCAUCACUGAGAGCUCUACUAAAGUAAAGCCUGAUACUUUCUGGGUCAUACUCUCUAAAAAUAAGUCACAAUGGGAAUGCUAAAAAAAACUAACUUACAACAUGUGAAUCAGAACUCCAGUUGCCUUCUACUUCUGCAGGGCUAAGAAAAACCCCUCAAGUACAGCAAUAGGUUAUUUAAAGACCGAAGUAAAUAGAUCUGACUGCAAGCAGACACAGGAAACAGAUCAAUGUCUCAUGAUGAUGAAAUCUAUGUAGUAAGUUUUGACAAGAGCCACAUGCUGGGGCUCAUCCAACAGGGAUCUUUCCACCAGGUAUUUGUUGAAACCUAUAAAGAUGCAGAUUAGCUUCAGUUGAUGCAGGGAAGUGAUUUUUUUUUCAUACAUCCUAUAAACUUUUAUAUUUUUGGCGGGGAGACUGAAAGUGCAUGAAUGCAUAGUAUUUUUUGCAGGCAGACAUAGCUUUAUUCCAAUCCUACCUCAGACUCUCAACCUUUUAUCUCUUAGACUUACUGCCAUGCCAGCUGUGGUUACAUGACUUCCAGUUUGCUUGGAUCAGGGCAGAGACAGGCUAUGUGUGCUUGUCAAACACAAAUACGUGCUAGAACCUGCAGCUAGAGUCCAGGAAAAGGUCUUUGACAUAACAAACAUACCGUGUAGUCCAAAACCUCCACAGCUCCAAGAUGUACUGCUGCCAUGACCUCAGAUUGUUGCUAUGAUGCUUUUUAUAGGGAUUUGAUGACAUCAGCUAGCACUAAUGUGAUAUUUUCCUAAGAGCUGUAGUAGAGGUAGAUGUGUAAAGUCAAAGCUUCUCUCUCAUAGCACUGGACCCACCUGGUGAGUACAAGGCUCCCUCAGGGCAAUGCCAUUUGUACUUUGAUCUGUGUUCAUGAGCACCAGGGCACACAGGAGCCCAGGGAGAAGGGCUGCCCUGGUUUCUUUCUAUUCUUCUUUGGUGUCAGCAUGCGCACCAUGUUGCUGCUCCUCACAAAAACUCAUCAGCUGGAAACAUGUCUAGAAAUAAAGCAGAGCUCUGAAAGCAACACUACUGCAUGCAGGACUGAGCAGCAGCUCCCAGUUUCUGCAAGUUUUUGGUUCUACUCUGUCAACCACCUUAGAACCAAAUUUGUAAAGAAAUGUAGAGGAAAUGAGAAAUUAAAAGGCCAAAUCUGGAAAAAAAAAAAGUCUUCCACUUCUGUUACUCAAACAUUGGAGAGAAGCCAAAAGGCAGAUACAGUAAUAAUACAACUUUUGGAAAAUGUGGAAUAAUAAUAGAAGCUAGAUUUAUUUAGAUCUCCAAUGGUGGAGACUACCUAGACCACAGAGCAGAAGGGAUUAAAAAAAAAACACACACUCUGAUAUUUGAGAUUUUUUUUUAACGUAUCAGACAAAACCAUUGUGAGAUUGAGAAUGGAAGCUGAAGCCACACAAAGUCAGACUGGAAGAAAGGUGACAACUUUACCUUGAUAACAGCCCAUCACUGCAGGAAUAUCUCAUGUAUGGUUUCCCCAACAGUUAAUCUUUUAAUUUUUUUAAAAUUUGAUUUCUUUAUAAAAGAUAGGCUUUUAUUUACUAUUUUAGUCUGGCCUGUACUAUGCAGGAAGCCAGAUUAAAUCAUCAUAAUAUUCCCUUCUAGCCUUAAUCUACAUAUGAUUAAAACAUAUUAUGUAGUUACCUGUCCAUAUAGAGAUGACCAUCUCCUCCCCACUCAAGUUGAUAUUUUCAAGCCACCAAAUGAAACUAGCCAAGACAAAGUGUGCUUGAUGAAACGGUGCUGCUGUGUGACAUCUGUGUCUGUGGGGAUGUCAGUGAGUAAAUCUUGAGGCUGAAAUCCUAAAGCACAAAAGAUACACAGCCAGCGUGGUGUCCCACAGGUGGGUGCAGGUGUGCCACACUCUGGAGGGGACAACCAACCCUUCAGGCCCUUCCUGUAUUCCACCAUCCUCUGUGAAUAUUGGAGAUGAAAUUUUUGUACACUUUCGCAGUAGCAAUCAUGUGAACCUGAGCUCAUUUUCACAAACAAAGCAUGCCCAAUCAACAGUCUCAUUUUUUUUUUCCUGCUUUAUGGAUGUUGAAGCAACAAUUUUGUGCAAAAGGUACAGGUGGGUUUUACGCUCCUGCUGGGCCCCAUGGUAGAGACUCACACAACAAAGGCUUGCAGGUGUUUCCUAUAUCUUUGUGGUUAUUUCUUUCAAACAGCAUCUGUUGAAAUGCAUCUUGCCUCCUGCUUAAAAAAGCCCAAUGCUUGGCAAUGCAGGGUGCUUGCCUUAGCUUUAACUGCCCACCCACACUGAACAUUUUAUGUUAUUUAGAUCGACCAGGGGCACAAUGAGAGCCUUUGACCAGCAAGACUUCCCUUCAGAGUGGGAGGCUCUGGAGGGGGAAAGGUGACCCAGAGAUGUGGUAACAUUUUUCACCUCCACUUCUCUUUCCAGUCGGGCAGCCCCGUCAUAGUUGGCACUGACCGCACUACCACCUGCUGCGUCCCAGCAGAAAUCCACACAAAACCUGGCUUGUCUUUGGGUAAUUGCACUUGUAAAGUAGAAGCAGCUCAUUUAAGCAUUACACACGGCAUCUUAUUAAGCACCUCGUGAUACAUAAAAUUAAGACAACUGAAAGAAAAUUUCCGAAAACCCUUCUAUACGGUUUGUGACCACAGCUGAUUUGUAUCUGGUGAGGUUUCCUGGGUGAUGAGUCCAUAAUUCCCAUCACCUUUUGGAAAAAGUCUCAUUUAACUUUAUUUUGCUUCAAUAAUAACUACUAAUGUUGUGUUAACCAAUCAAAAGAGAACAAGUGGUCAAAGCAAGACCUAGAGAAACAGACCCAGAACACAUCUAACCUGAAGUAGAUGUAGGUUGAACAUGAUUUGGUUCUGAAUUCUCAGCAUGAGCUAUAAGUAAUUAUAACUAAAUCCCCUGGGCAAACUGAUCUACGUGUGGUGGCCCCAUUCAAUGCAGGGGAGUUGGACUAAAUGGCCCUUGGAGGUCCCUUCCAACUCUAAGGAGUCUAUGAUUCCAUGAUUAUGAUUCUAAUUCAGGCAUGCAAAGUGGUCUGGGAGGGAACUGGAUGUCAGGUGGUAGCACUGGGCAGUACAAUCUACCUCGAUCUGUGAAUUUCAUUGUAGGAAGAGCAUUAUGUUGUUUUGGUGUUUGUUUGUUUUCCUUAUUUUUUUUUUUAAUUUCUUUAUAGUUUCUUUUUCUUUAAGAUAUGAUUUAGAAACCACUGGGAGUUACUUGGAUGCUGCCUUCCAAAUUCAGUGCUUUUAUUUUUAAUAUUGUAGUGGAAAUGCUAAGUCACAGCUUGAAGCAGUGAUUGAGCACCUGGUGGAAGGCAGGGCCAACUCAGGUGAGCUCAGGUGCAUGCAAUGCAGCUGAGUGAUCAGAAGGACUGGAGCCAGGAUCCACCCCUUCCCAGCCCUCAUUUAAGGGUUGGCAGUGGAGGCAAGGAUAUCUUCCUAGAGUUUUCUACCUACCUGAGUCUUUCCAAAGAGUCUGGACAGAAGAGAUAGUAGAAAAUACGUCCAUUUCAUCAGACUGGAUGUGUUCAAAGGUGAUAACAGAAGCUGAAUGAACUUGGCUGCCACUGUCCCCGCCUACAGCCAAAGACUGAAUUUGGUGAUGGCCCUCCUUGAGUAGAGCCAAGUGGUGCUCCAUAGCCAAGACUGUCAGCCCAAAAGAGUUGCUGAUCAGCCUGGUCUCAUGUUCCAAGAAUGAAACCCUGGCAUGGAAGUGGCAUAUCUGCCAGUUAAUGUCAACAUUUGAUGUGCAGUCAGAGAGCAAACAAGGUUUCAUAUUGUGGUAAAAAGGGAAAUACUGUUUGCUUUAAUUCUAGUUUCUUUGUGUCAGAUGUAUUAAGAGUCUCAUAAAAUAGUGAAAGAAUUUCAUUCUUACUUACAAUUAUAAGAAGCAUAUAUAUAUACACACACAUAUACAUACACACACAAUGUACCUACUUCUACAAGUACAAACAAAAUGUAAAAUCUAGCUAGUAAUGAAUAGCUUGAAACAUCCUUUUCAGAAAACAUUAUAAUACAAGACUCCAGUGACUUUAUCUAACGCUCAGUUACUAAGAAGGGGAAGAGAACACUUAACUGUGAAUGAGCUUCCCUAUAGCAAAAGGAAAGUGCUCCCAGACUGAAAAAUAGGCAUGGACAGACUAAGAUAUCAUGUAGAGUGGGUACAGCUUGCUGUCCAGCUCUCACCACCUAUGUGUAUAUGACAAUUAAUCCAUGUGCUUUAUUGUCCUCCAGUCUUCUGGAUGAGAGAUCACAGGAGAUCACGUUUCAAACGGUGAUGUCCCAAGUGUGGGAAGAACAGAGCAAUGGGACUCUCACUGCUGUAGGAGGCAGUGCUCAGCACCACAGGAGAUAGUCCUGAGCUCCCAAGGACAAUAAUUAAUGACAACCAGCACUGGCACAGCACUUCUGUUGAGUCUCAGAGCAGAAACACCUGCAGCAUAUCCCACCCUGGCAGGGAAAUGGAGCUGGUGACCUAACAAUCUUUCCCACCUCUAACUUCUGGGGCUUUAUGAAUCGUCAGUCACACCUAGGUGUGAUAUCGCUAUAAAAUCCCAGUCACGUAAGAGAGCUGGCAGGAAGUUCUGGCUGUGCAACUCUGUGGUUUUAUGCUUAGCUAUGUUCUAAAUACUGAAAGAAUGAAGUAGACUUUCAAGCAUCAGCGUUGACAGUUGCUUUCAGAGAUAUUCAAACAAACAAAAUCCAGUCACCUAGACAGCAAAACCAGCUGCAGCUUGGGCUACAGCACAAACGUGACUUUUUGUUUUAAAAAGAAAGCCAUCACUAUCUAAAUGCCACCUGUGGUGUGGUGUGACUAAUACUGCUCUUCUUCAAGAGGUUGGCAAGGGCCUCUUUAUAGACUCAUAAAACCAUAGAAGCAUUUGGGUUGGAAAAGACCUUCAAGAUCAUUGAAGUCCAACCAUCAAACUCACCUACCAAGUGCCACCACCAAACCAUGUCCCUUAGUGCUGCAGAACAUCCCCAGAGCAAACAUGAGCACUGUGCCCAGCGCCAGCUCUGUACUUCACACAGAGGGUGGUGACGCACUGAACAGGUUGCCCAAGGAGGCUGUGGAUGCCCCAUCCCUGGAGGCAUUCAAGGCCAGGCUGGAUGUGGCUCUGGGCAGCCUGGUCUGCUGGUUGGCGACCCUGCACACAGCAGGGGGUUGAAACUAGAUGAUCACUGUUGUCUUUUUCAACCCAGGCCAUUCUAUGAUCCUAUGAUUCUAUGAUUGACUAUGGACUAUGGGUGACAUCUACCUGUCAUUGCUGCCAUCUUAACACUAGGGCAGAGCUCAGUACAUUUCUCUACAUGGUGUGUUGCAGUAGGAAAGUUUCUUUCCUUCUCCUCCUCCAAAGUCCUGCAACGGGAAAAGAAAACAUGGGAAACCGUGUCUUCAAAUCAUACACCCAUACUUCAUCUCAUUGUAUAAUCAUCACAAAAAUCUGGUGGUGAGCUGUACUGUAUCUGUGUUUUGUCUGGAGGUUGGAAGUGGUUUUAACGAUUUAAAUCAUGGUAAAGAAAAGGGCCACUCAAAACACAGAGCUGGAAAGCAGAACCGCUUCGGUGUCUGCAGUAUUCUAAACUAGAUUUUGGUCCAGGUCCUGCUCCACUGUGUCCUCGUGUUGGGAAAGUAUAUUCAGAGCUGACAUGGCUUUCCCAGGUGUUUUCUACUGGGACAAAGUGCAGAGAAUGCAGUUAAUCACGAGUGCAUUCAAGUGUCCUAAGGUCUUUGGGUGAAAGCUGUUAGAGACAUUGAAAAAGUGUUUAAUAAUCACAGCCCCAUGUCCUCAGCACAGGCUUUUUGGGUUCACGAAAGUUCAAACACCUUUUAAGAAAUUUAGGCCAAAAUGUAAGCAGGCCAGAGCCAUGCAGCAGUUCCAAUGGCAACGGGGACAGCGCUUUGUUGAACCAUUUUCAGGAUCAUGACUACUGGGUAAGAUGCAUGCUGAGUGGUGCUGCUUUUAUAAACCACAGCAGGCACAAAGGUACUGUGUGCAGUUUCCUAUAGUUGACAUAAAGAUAUAUACAUUUUUCUUUUCAACAGUCUCACUUCUACACAGUUUCAAUUAGAAGUGCAUAUAACAACAAUCCCCAAGAAGAUUCAACAUUGGGUCUUUCAACUGACUGUCAACACAUCCUGUUCUUCCUCAUUUGCAAUACUUGUCCCUAAAAACAAACUGGACACAAAAGGUACCUGUUUUUUUCAGCAAAAAUGAGACUCAUGGAUGAGAAUUAAAAAAACACAAGUUUUGUAGCAACUAUGAAAGCUGCAACCUCAGCUAAAAGAAAACAUAGAUAUUUCCCUGCUCUCUAUUUUCCUGUCUUUCCAUUGGUUCCUCGGACCAUCCUCGGGGAUAGUAUUGAGGCAUACACACACUUAAUUCCAUGCAAGAGGCUGUUAUUGUGCUAUUGCACUGUAUGGAGUGCUAUGGCCUAGCAAGGGAGACGUGAAACUCACUACAGAUAAAGGAAUUUCUUGCCAAAAGAAAGGAAAAGAUAGCAUCUAUUUCUAUUUCCUGUAAAGAGAGGCAAUUGGAGAGCUGCCUUAUGUUAAUUUGAUUCUUAGAAAAAGGAUAAAAUCACUACAAAUGAAACAGUCACACCUCCUGUAACGAUUUCCUGUUUUGUUUUGCCUUUUUCCCUAGCUUAAGUCUAUACUUAUGAAAUGCUUUUGGAUUAUGUAAAAACAUUGCAGAGGAUUUUAUUGCCUCUUGUUGUACUGGCUAAGAGUUACCCAAACCAUCCACAGAUGGAAGAAGAAGGGGUUAUGUGCAACUUCUGGAGUAGCUAGAAGGAAGUGGUGUUCUAAACUAUGGUUAUUUAACCAAAGGAGCUCAAAAUGAGUGGGAAAUACUUGUGUUCCACACAGCAUUAUUGUACACUACGUAUCAAAUACAACCAAUAGAGAAAGACAAAUAACCUGGGAAUGGCAAACGCUUCCAGUGAAUUACAAAUAUGUUUUAGAGUGACCUGAAUCGCAUUUCAAAGCGCUCAGAAUAUUAUCCCACUAAUUCAAGUGUUUACCGUGGAUCCAGUCUCACUGCCUCCAUUCAUGUGAACAGUUCCAUCCAUAGCAAGAAGACUGCAGAGCUUUCACCUGCUGACCUGCCCUCUCCAGCUGAGGGUUGCAGAAGAGAAGACUCUCCCUGGACCAUGAGAUCCAACAAACACCUCUCAACAGAAAUACAGGCUUGUGGACUGAUCGGAAAGUGACAAAGUAUUUCUAGUACAUAACGUAAAAGACAGGAUCCAUCUUCACUUUGAAUAAUUACUGCCAGAGCUGAAUCAGAAACUGCCAAAGCUGCAGGAAAGAAUCCAACAUUUUUCUACACAGAUUCAAAGCAAAUAUGAAUUCCCUUCCCUUUCCUUUCCCUUCCCUUCUACCACAACCCCUUUCACUUCAUUCCCUUUGAAUAACUUACCAUGAAUGAAUUUAGUGAGGGAAUGGUACACAAGAAAUCUUUGGGCAAAUCCUCAGCUGUUUCAAUUGGCUGCAGUAAAGCUACACUCUUUUACACCCUGAAGAUGCACCACAGUGGAUGUGAAAAGCUCUCUUGGAGAUUAUUCACCUCGUAUGAAUGCAACUGUUCCCAUCAGCUAUCUCAGCUUAAAGAUUGUGGUUAUUGAGUCAGGGGACAGAACAAUGGUAUGGGAUUGAGCCCAAGCAAUUAACUCUUCCCUCAACUUUAUUACUGAAUCCUGAACUGGCAUCCCACAGAGAACCUGUAACAAUCUUAUUCAGAUCAAAGCCCCCACUUUUUAAAUAAUGAGAAGUUUGGAAAACAAAAAUCAAAGGGCAGCCUAUGAUUCACACACAGAAAUUUUAUAAAAACCACAAAAUCAAAAGGCCCUUAAUUGAGGCCUUUCAACCCAACCAAGUAUUCAUUCCAAGAUAAUUACUGCCAUAAAACCCUCUGCCACAGAGACACUGGACUAGAAAACCUUUGAAUUGCACACGGAACUUAAGGAAAGAGCUGGCUGGGAUGUAAUCCUGCUGAGACCUGAAAAGGAGAAGUUCUGGGGGGGAACGAAGCCUUCAGUGCAAGUCAUUCCUCUGUAAAAACAUGUCAUCAUUGAGAAGGCUCUACAACAAGAAAAGACUGGGGAAGAUCUGCCAGGAGCAAACCAGGUACUCUUAUAAAUAAGGAACAAAUAGCACUGUACAUCACAUGGGUUAAAUGCCAUGAGUAGCAUCAAAUGGUAUCUUGAAGAACAGAUGAGUCAACAGCCAGAAAUGCAACUGAUUAAAACCAAAAUUAAACUGGCUCUAACUGAUGGUGCAUGAAGGGCUACAAUCAAAAAAAGAAAAGAAAAAGGGAAAGUCUUCUGCUGUUGGGAUUCCUCUGUUCCUUCAAGCUACAAUAGGUUCUGAGCUACACAACGUUAAAAUCGUCACUGUCCUUUUGGGCACCUCACCAAAGAUGAGGGCAACUCUUGGAGCAAUGCAGUGCUCAGUCCCUGCCAUAGACCUGCCUCACAAACAGUGGUUUGGUUUUGUGGUUGUUGGCCAAUAUCUGAAAGGAUAGAAUUUCCAGACUGGAAGGGAUCCACCAGCACCGGAGUCCAACUCCUGCUCACUCUCAAGGUACUGAUUAAGAAGCUUUAGACUGACAAAUAAGUACACUUAGGAAGUUCUCCAAAUAGAUGACUGAUUAUAAUUGCUAAG
ensembl:lncRNA